UAUCGAAGGCGAGAUCAUCGACUAACGC
rnacentral:sRNA from 1 species